AACCCUGCCUCUCCUAUGGCCGGAACACUGUCAUUGAAACUCAUAUACUAGCCCUGAGCUGCCAUGCCCAAGACCAUGGAUGACAGGGUGAGCGCAACUGGAAAGCCUUUUCAAGCCGCAUGGGUUUACAUUUUGGCGAGACUGUUUCAAUGCUGUGUCUGUGGCUCCCAGGCCCCAGAUCAAUGGCAUCGCGAUUCCUGUGUUCUUCAAGCUUCACAGUAGAUGGGGUAGAUAGAUCACGAGAUGACACGCAUUAGCUCUACUCCAGUGAGCUUGAAGCAUGUGUUCCCAGCUUGCAAAGAUUAUGGAAGGGAAUCCGCAUCUGAGGUUAGUCACAAAGCUCUUGACCAGGAUUAAGAGUUCAGGGAAUGCUCGCAGAAUUGUUUUCAUCCCUCUGAGUGAACUCGGAAGUCAACCAGCAGCCUGAUUCCAGCAAUAAUGAGCUAUAAGGAGCCUGUCCCAGCCCACCCAGAGAAGCAGGACCGUGGGGGAAAACAUACAUAUUCUGGCAAAUAAACAUCAAAGAGAGGAGGUUCUGAAUGGCCAUCCCUUCCCUCCCACUUGAAACUUCCUAGUCGUUCCGUCCCUUGAAGAGGGACCUUGCAGUGGUCAUUCUUUCCCACGAGCAGGGGAUCUCGAGGAAUAAGAGACUAUUCACAGGGAUUUUUACAAUCAACUAGCAAGUGAUUGUUUCUCACAGCAACUUUUAAAAUACUAAAGACCAUGACAUAACAGCCUCCGAAGCGGGGAAUCAUGGACACAGCACUAAAAGGAUGAUUCAUAAAAGAAAAAAAUAGGUAAGUUGAACUUCAUCAAAAUUUAAAAUGUUUACUUCAUGAAAAGCUUUGCUUGGAAAGUAAGAUAAACUGGAGCUUGGGAGAAAACGUUUGCAAGCAAUAUAUUCAAGUCAAUUCUCUAGCUGCUCAGAGCUAUAACUCAAUAGCACCGUGCUGACCUAAUAAAGACGAGGUCCUAGAUUUGAUUCCUAGCACCCCUCCACACACACACCUUGAAAUAUACUCAACAAAAGAUGAAUAGUAUCUAUAAUACAUAAACAAUCCUGCUGGCCAGGCAAGGUAGUAUAAACCGUCGAUUACAGCACU